rnacentral:rRNA from 1 species
CCUACGGGUGGCUGCAGUGGGGAAUAUUGGACAAUGGGCGCAAGCCUGAUCCAGCCAUGCCGCGUGAGUGAUGAAGGCCUUAGGGUUGUAAAGCUCUUUUGGCGGGGACGAUAAUGACGGUACCCGCAGAAUAAGUCCCGGCUAACUUCGUGCCAGCAGCCGCGGUAAUACGAAGGGGACUAGCGUUGUUCGGAAUCACUGGGCGUAAAGCGCACGUAGGCGGAUUUGUAAGUCAGGGGUGAAAUCCCGGGGCUCAACCUCGGAACUGCCUUUGAUACUGCGAAUCUCGAGUCCGAUAGAGGUGGGUGGAAUUCCUAGUGUAGAGGUGAAAUUCGUAGAUAUUAGGAAGAACACCGGUGGCGAAGGCGGCCCACUGGAUCGGUACUGACGCUGAGGUGCGAAAGCGUGGGGAGCAAACAGGAUUAGAUACCCUAGUAGUC